rnacentral:rRNA from 1 species
ACCUUACCAGGGAUUGACAUGUAACUGAAGGUAGAGAAAUCUACUGGCCUGCUGCAAAGCGGGAGGUUACACAGGUGGUGCACGGCCGUCGUCAGCUCGUGCCGUGAGGUGUUGGGUUAAGUCCCGCAACGAGCGCAACCCCUACGAUUAGUUACUAACGCGGAAAGGCGAGGACUCUAAUCGGACUGCCGCCGACGAGGCGGAGGAAGGAGGGGAUGACGUCAGGUAAGCGUGCCCCUUAUACUCUGGGCGACACACGUGCUACAAUGGAGGGGACAAAGGGAAGCGAAGCCGAGAGGUGGAGCGGAUCCUAAAAAAACUCUCCGAAAUACGGAUUGUAGGCUGCAACCCGCCUACAUGAAGUCGGAAUCGCUAGUAAUCGCAGGUCAGCCAAACUGCGGUGAAUACGUUCCCGGGCCUUGCACACACCGCCCGU